rnacentral:lncRNA from 13 species
AUGUAUCCCUGGGGUACUAACUACGGCGGUGGCCAUCAACCACCUUCGCAGCAGAACUUCGGCGCGCCGUCUCCUCAAGGCGAAGGCUUCGCAGGUGGAUUCGGGAGUUAUGGAGCCGCUACGCCCGCAGCGGCACCCGGUUCCACUUUCAACAGCCUGCGGGAGCAGCAUCUCCAGCAGAUGCAGCAGCUGCAACAGCUCCACCAUAAACAGCUCCAAUCCGUGCUGCACCACGACAGGAACGUAGAUGCAAACCCCUAUGGCGGCGGUGGUACUGCGGCCGAAUCGUGGCAAGGCAGUUCGGGAUAUGGGUAUGGUUCAACGGGGGCCGGUGCCCCUUCCCCUUAUCAAGAUGAGUAUCAGACCAUGCAAGCCGGUCCGCCCGGACCACAGCAGCCGCCGCUACCGCCACAGUCCCCGCAGUCCAAGGAGGCCCAGCCUCCCCCACCAGAUUCGACCCUCCCGGUGCCCACUCAGAACAAUGGUACUCCAGCGACUAAAGAGGUAAACACGAAAGAAUCUUUGGCCUCGAAAGACCAGGCACAUUCCUCUGGGUCGGAGGAGGAAAAGCCCGAUUUUACGUCAAUGUCGCUGCAGGAACAGCAGCAGUAUUGGUACAAGCAGCAUCUCCAGAAUCUGCAGAGGCUGAAAGUCGAGAAGGCCAAACAGGGUCAGGGUGAUGGCCCAACGCCCCGGCCCCACUCGACAGCCGCGCCUCCCCCUCCAUCGGAACCCCCUAAGAACGCCCCUCCACCACCCCCACCCAAAGAGGAGCCCCCGCCACCACCUCCACCGGAGGACAAAACGGUAAAGGAGAAACCUGACCGUUUCACAUGUCUGAGAUUCUAAUUGUUCGUAAAUAUAUUGGUCUGUGAGACAUAUCCCAUUUAUAGCAGACGAUGUGUUACCUGUAAAAAAAAACACAACAAAAUUAAUUAGUGGGAUUUUUCUCUGUAUGAAAGGGAUACUGCUGACAAACGCAAUCUUCUCCACACAAUCGUCUCCCGAGAGUCUGAUAUGUUUUGAAAUUCAAUAUCUUCAGAAUGUAAUCGGACUGUGGUAACGAUCCAGUGAUAUGGUAGGUAUUCACGUGUCGGUUUACCAAUGUCACAGGGAAAAAAUACAAAUAAUUGAAUGGGAAUGUUAUUUAAGCUUCCUCGCGCUACAGAAACAAAGACAGAGGCUCUCGCCCCUGUGUGAAGUUCUGGUAGUGUGGACAAGGCUGAAUGACUCUACGUAAACGUAGCGUGGACAAGGCUGAAGGACUCUACGUAAACGUAGCAUGGACAAGGCUGAAGGACUAAAUGUAGCGUGGACAAGGCUGAAGGACUCUACGUAAACGUAGCGUGGACAAGGCUGAAGGACUCUACGUAAACGUAGCGUGGACAAGGCUGAAGGACUAAAUGUAGCGUGGACAAGGCUGAAGGACUAAAUGUAGCGUGGACAAGGCUGAAGGACUAAAUGUAGCGUGGACAAGGCU